GGCAUGAGCCCUUGGGCCCAGCCGGCUGUUUAAUGUUCUUAAAUAGCACAAGGGACUUCUAUGAACUUUCCUAGAUGAAAUAUUUAUUAACUACUAGGUAAAACACUUGUUUGAUACUGCAAAGGGUUAUUUCUGAAACUUAAACCUCAUGAUUGGCCAACCAAGAACUUUUUCUCCACAGCAUGCUUUAAUAAUGAAAUGCGGAUUAAGAGUCCAAUAUUAUAAAACAUUUCCACAAAAGAAAGAAUCCAUCUGAUUCUCAACUCUGAAUGCACAUUUGAAUUCCCUCGGGGAGCUUUUAAAAGUCUAAUGCCCCAGUGUACCCCCCCCAGUUAAUUAAUUAAAUAAUUCUCUGGGGAUGAGAACUGACUGACAGCAACACUUAAGCUUCGAGACUGCAGUGUGCAGCCGAGGCCCACUCCUCCAGCGUCACCACCUCGUCUUUAUCUGCCACUGUGUCUCCUCAUUGCCCACAGCUUUAGCAACAGCAAAAGUAGAAUUCAAACCUUGGUAAACAAGGCUUAAAUUAUUACUGUUCAUGACCUUAAUUAAUUGAAAAUGAUUACUGGUGACCACAGCACUCCAUGCUCUUCCUUAUGGAAAAAGGGUUGCCUAGAAGAUUUAGGCAAUACUGGGAGUUCUUAUUUGAAGUCACAGAAAGGAGAAACUUUUCUCAAGCCGUUUUUAUUACACUUAGUGUAUUAAGACAAGUACAAAAUAACCUUGUAAUUAAGAUACUGUAUCAGUCAAAAAAGAAGUCACUAUUGUAUGAAGAGAUUUACAAAUGACUAAAAUAUACAGGCUGUGACAGAAUUAACAGUUUGAAAGAGGGUUGCUUUUUUCUUUUAGAAAUGCUAAAUUUUCUUAACAAGACAAAAAUACAGUGCUCUAAAUAUGCAUUACCAUGAAAACGUUAAAGAAAAGCAGUCUUAACACUUAACUACUAUUAACAGCCUUUGCCAACACAUGCCUGCCUACUCCCUUUCCUAACUUUAAAGAACUGUUUCCUCUAAGGAAUACUAGUGCAGCAUAACCCUUAAAUAAUUUCAUUUAUUUUUAAAGUUACAACCUACAGAGAAAUUAACAUCUUGUCAAUCUAAUAACAGUGGCAACCAUUCUUCACAUGCACUUCUCUUAGAAUAAAUCCCCUUGGCUGGCAGGAUAAGGCUUAUGCUGUAGAACCUUCUCCCCCACAGCCACAAAUCCCCUUCUAUAAGUCCCUCCUACCCUCAUCCCCCCGCAUCCCCACUGGCAUUCACCUUUCCCACCCCAAAAAGUGCAGCUCAUGGUAGCCUUCUAGAAAAUGGUUUUAAUGGGUAUCCCAGCAUACACGCUUUUUUAAAAGCCCCCUCUGAACACCAGAGGUGGUGAAAAUGAAUUGUGUUCUUGGAUUUUUUUUUUUUUAAGCCUCCACUGGGUCAAAAAUAUGUGCUCUUAAUACUUGAGUUUUUGCUUUGUGUGUGGGUUUUCUUUCUUUUUCAUUUAGAUAUCGUGGGAUAAAGUGGAGAGGACAUCUCCAUUUUCCCAUACAAACUGAGGGUGAGAAGAGAAAGAGAAGCAAGCUGUUGCCCCCACUUUGGCCUGGCUUCCCAGCCAUCUUCCCAGCUCUGGUUCUUUCAUAGGAACUAGUUAUUGCUUCCACAAUGCCGUUAUACGGAAUGUUCCACAAAGGCUGUGAACCUAGUCACAGUCUACCCACAACAAGAACUCUGCUCUGAAAAACCAGCCCAAGAGCUCUUACCCAGAAGAACAAUCUUUAGCCCUCAAGGUCACUGAAACUUCAUUAGAGCAGUUUAGAGUAGACGUGUAAGAUUUGGCAUAUAUUAAAUGAUUAUUGGCACAAUGUUCUCCAGUUCCAUGUAUAAAUGUUGAUAUGCACAUCGGCCAGGGCCCAGGAUGAAUCAGCCAAUCUGCACCAUUUUUAUGUCAGCAAUAAUUCCAUCUCUUCCCUUUGAGCACUGUAGGGAGAGCUGCUUCAUCCGGUUCUCCAAGGCCUGGCCCUCAGGGGAGGUGCUGCUUUGGCUCUUACUGCUGCCACCACUGCCACUGCUACUGCUGAGGCCCCGGUUGUUGUUGGCUUUGUCACUUGUUUUAUUCUCUGCCCCUUCUGCCCUGUCUCCUAUAGAAAUACAAGGAUUAUCAAAAGUGAGUAUUGACAAUUCUGCCCUGUCUCCUAUAGAAAUACAAAGAUUAUCAAAAGUGAGUAUUGACAAUUCUAAGUCACUUGAGCUCAAACCAGUCAGCUAACUCAGCCCUGUAGAAGUCCCACUGUUACCUACCGUGCCUAUCAGAGAGGUUCUCAGUACAUAAUCAUUUACUGCUUUUAUUCCUUGUGAUGUUUUAUAUAUUCCUUAGCUAUAGAGAUGAAAUUUGCCAUAUUCACUUUAUUGCUGAGAAACAAACCUCUCUACUAUGUGCUUGCCAAGGAGACUGUUCUGAUGUGAGACAUAGGACCUAAGCUCUACUUUAUAGAAGCUGAGUGGAGCCAGGAGCCCCCCCAGAACAGCACUUGGAAACAACCUCAGUGAUCAAUACUGACAGCACAACCACAGAGACCUGGUAAUGCAGCAUGGGGGCCCUGAGACCUGGCAGAGGUAUGGAAUGGCACAACAGUCAGGCUACAGAGGCAGUGUGGCAUCUGGGACGGGGUGAGAAGGCUGCUACUCACCUCGUUCUACUUCACAUUCAGGGGAGGAGGCCCCGCUGCAUUCACUUCGAGGGCCCAACACUGGGAACAUCAUCCCAAACUCUGACAGGGACACAGGGCUGGGCAGAUCCAGGCUGCCAGGCCUCACAACCGCAGGGAACUGGUCAGGCAUCUCAGACGGGCUUGUUGGUCCUGAACUAAAGCUGGACACGGACUGGGUUUCCGAGUCAUCUUCAGACACAAAGUUGCUACAGCUGUCAUCUUCAAAGGCCUCCGAGGCCACUAAGUUGAGAGAGAACACCAGUCACAUGGGUUCUGUCACCUCCUCAAACACCACAAGUGCUUGCUGCUGGCAGGCAGCUAGACACAGCAUGGGGGACUAAAGAGUCUCUACCUCUGUGAGUGCCUAAUGAAGGAAUGUGACUUCCCAAGCCUGAAUGACCAGCCUCUAAAGCAGCUGGAAGGGAAGCAGCUGGCAGCAGGAUCCCAUGGAUAUUAAGCGCCCUUCCAAUAACCUUAUAACCCUGCCAAGAAAUCAGUGUCACCAGACACCACCUAAAAAUGGAAGAUUAAUUCAGCCACAAAUUAGGACCUUUACUCCACCUCAGUCCCCCAAAUACAUCCUCAUGUGCACAGGAAGAGGUUCUAGUCCUCUGUAACAUAUCCCAAACAAAGCCAGCUGGACUCAGGCUUCUUUCUUAGGGCAAUAGAAGCAAGAGCUGCUAGAAGAAACAGGCCAGCAUGGAACAUCUGUUGGGACCUUUGUUAUCUCCAGGACUUAAAUAUUUGUUGAAGGAAUUAACUCCUGAGGAAGGAGCUUGGGAAAGAGCCGACAGGGAUUAUUGCACAGGACUUCUCAGCCUUGAAUGUUCAAAUGUAUACUUUGACUCUCAAAGAGGAGUGAAGGUGUAACAUUUUCCCAAUUUAUUUGACCACAGAAUCCUGACUUUGAGGAACACUUAGUACCUUCUUAAUGAACACAGUGUUCCAUAAAACAUGGGAACCCACCAGAAAUAGCCCUCAGGCCUGCCCAACUCUGAGACCUUUCACUGAUGGCCAGAGAAAGUGAGGACCUUGGGAAACAAAUCACACAGUCUGAUAUCUCCCCACAUACCCAGUGGAGCCCCUGACUUACCAGAAAUGGCAUCAGGCUCAGGUUUGCUCCCUGGCAGAUCCUCCACAGAUGUGCUGCUGCCCUCAGCACCAACACCGCAUCCCCGAGGCCCCAUGGCACUGGAGCGCCGCCGCUCGUGGAUCUCAUCUGAGAUCAUCUCCAGGUUCUUCAGGGCCAUCUUGUACUCGCCUUUUGCCAGGGUCAGUUUGGCCUGCAGGUCAUCCACAGUCUUUUUCAGUUGCUGAUCAAGAGAACAGGAGACUAAGUGAAGACUACCCUGCUAGCCUUAAGAUGCUUUCUGAAUGACAGGUUCAAGUACAUUUUCUGCCCAUCAUUCUACUUCAAGGAAUUUUCCAAGACAUGACUGAAGACCUAAUUACCAUUGUAACUGCUAUUCAUUCACCAGACAAAAUCAGCCACCACCAUCCCCAGAUCCCAUCCAGGUGACAACCUCUAAUAUCCAAAAACUCUCACUGGUGGAACAAACCCCAUCAGGGAAGCAAAAAUGGGCAUCAGACACACCAAAGUCCCACAGUCUAGACAUCUGGUUCCCAGUACAGUGGUUCUCAAAGUUGAGCUUGCAUCAAAAUCCCCUUGGGUGUUAAGACUCAGCUCACUAGACUCCAACCUCAGAGUUUCUAAUUCAGUCGGUCUAGAGUGGGACCUGGUCUAUCAGGUCUCCAGGUGAUGCUGAUGCUGCUGGUCCUAAGAGCAUGCUGUGAGAACCACUGGCCUAGUACAACAGAGAAGGUGACUGAAUGGCAGUUACAGAGGUUCAGAGACCACUGAAGACCCAACCGAGACAAUUUUGAGGUCUGAAAACUCAGUAAAGCCUGUCUCUCCACUUUCCCCUUAUAGCAAGUGGCCCAUGUGAUACUCUGCUACCCCAGAAAAGUGAAGCUUUGAGUGCAGAAAAAUCUCAUCAGUGACGAAGCCCAAAGCUACACAUACCUCGAGCUGCACAUAGUACUUUGCCUUGAGUUCAAAAUAAGGCCUGCAGAAGACAGGAAGGAAAGCCAUCAGAGUAAUAUAAUACAGUGACCACAGUCAACUCCACAAGAUGAACAAGAGGCAUCAGCUACCACUGGCCAGGUCGUCCUUCCAAUAUUUAGUAAACUCUUAACAAGGCCGUGACAUGUCAGUGAUGCUCCUAGCUCUGGAGACUGACAGACACCAGAUGGAACGACUGGGCUCACCCAGGGCUAUAUUAACAGGAGGCCCAUCUCAAGACACGGGGAACCCACACACACAUAUCUUGGGGACUCUGCAACUUAGCUCAUGUUCCUCCUCUGUGGGAAGGCUGUUCAGAGCCUCACAGGUUAUACCCAGCAGUAAGGGUGGCCUGGAUCUGCUCUCCUAAUGAAGUUGGCUCCCCAGGGAUGAAGAGCAGCUGAGGCUGGAGAAGGGGCUGCUUAAACCUCCUCCUCUACUGAAGUCAACUGGGGAAGAGAGAGAAGCACCACUCCUCCCUCACAGCACAGCAAGGCCACCACUAGGAGGGGGUCUCAGGUUGGUCCUCCCAAACCUUGUCCAAAGACUGGAGUUAUUAGUUGGCUGACUCAGCCACAUAAUGGGCCCAAGAAAUGCCAGCGUCCUAGCAGUUCCCUUGGUUCUGGGUCAGCUGAAAGAGCUUGGCUCUUUUUUAGGAACUUUGGUGCCUGAACAUUAAGAGUAGAUCACUGCUUUAUUCUUGAGCUGUUCACCCUCCAUGAAGCUCUCAAGUCCUGCAUCCUGAGGAUCCAGAUGGAUGACAAGGACACAGGACUGCCAUUGGCACCCAAGACUACGAUCUAUCCCUGUACUCUUCUCGGAGUCUGAAAAGGGAAAUGAAGAUGAACUGUGUCACAGAUGCAGUGGAUUACUGACUGCCCUUGUAAUAGUCCAUUUUGCAUCUGUUGGUAAUUCAUUGAGGCACUCUUGGUUUUCUAUGAGUUUGUAUUUUUUGAAUUCAAGAAUUGUAACAUCACUGUUAGAUCCCUCCUUAUUUAAUGAGAGAAAUAAAAUAUUUGACACGAGAAAAU
rnacentral:lncRNA from 1 species